UAGGGAAUCUUCCACAAUGGACGAAAGUCUGAUGGAGCAACGCCGCGUGAGUGAAGAAGGAUUUCGGUUCGUAAAACUCUGUUGCAUGGGAAGAACAAGUAGCGUAGUAACUGGCGCUACCUUGACGGUACCUUGUUAGAAAGCCACGGCUAACUACGUGCCAGCAGCCGCGGUAAUACGUAGGUGGCAAGCGUUGUCCGGAAUUAUUGGGCGUAAAGCGCGCGCAGGUGGUUCUUUAAGUCUGAUGUGAAAGCCCCCGGCUCAACCGGGGAGGGUCAUUGGAAACUGGGGAACUUGAGUGCAGAAGAGGAUAGUGGAAUUCCAAGUGUAGCGGUGAAAUGCGUAGAGAUUUGGAGGAACACCAGUGGCGAAGGCGACUGUCUGGUCUGUAACUGACACUGAGGCGCGAAAGCGUGGGGAGCAAACAGG
rnacentral:rRNA from 1 species